rnacentral:rRNA from 1 species
CGCUGGCGGCACGCCUAACACAUGCAAGUCGAACGAAGUAGCAAUACUUAGUGGCAGACGGGUGAGUAACAUGUAGGUAUCUACCCUUUGGCCUGGAAUAACACGAGGAAACUUGUGCUAAUACCGGAUAAGUCUUUACGGAGAAAGCUUUAUGCACCAUUGGAUGAGCCUGCACUUGAUUAGUUUGUUGGUGGGGUAAUGGCCUACCAAGACUUUGAUCAAUAGCUGAUUUGAGAGGAUGAUCAGCCACAUUGGGACUGAGACACGGCCCAAACUCCUACGGGAGGCAGCAGUGGGGAAUCUUGCACAAUGGAGGAAACUCUGAUGCAGCGAUGCCGCGUGAGUGAAGAAGGCCCUUGGGUUGUAAAGCUCUUUCGUCGGGGAAGAAAAUGACUGUACCCGAAUAAGAAGGUCCGGCUAACUUCGUGCCAGCAGCCGCGGUAAUACGAAGGGACCUAGCGUAGUUCGGAAUUACUGGGCUUAAAGAGUUCGUAGGUGGUUGAAAAAGUUGGUGGUGAAAUCCCAGAGCUUAACUCUGGAACUGCCAUCAAAACUUUUCAGCUAGAGUAUGAUAGAGGAAAGCAGAAUUUCUAGUGUAGAGGUGAAAUUCGUAGAUAUUAGAAAGAAUACCAAUUGCGAAGGCAGCUUUCUGGAUCAUUACUGACACUGAGGAACGAAAGCAUGGGUAGCGAAGAGGAUUAGAUACCCUCGUAGUCCAUGCCGUAAACGAUGUGUGUUAGACGUUGGAAAUUUAUUUUCAGUGUCGCAGCAAAAGCGAUAAACACACCGCCUGGGGAGUACGACCGC